rnacentral:rRNA from 1 species
UGGCUCAGAACGAACGCUGGCGGCAGGCCUAAUACAUGCAAGUCGAGCGCGCCCUUCGGGGUGAGCGGCGGACGGGUGAGUAACGCGUGGGAAUAUGCCCUUCUCUAAGGAAUAGCCUCUGGAAACGGAGAGUAAUACCUUAUACGCCCUUCGGGGGAAAGAUUUAUCGGAGAAGGAUUAGCCCGCGUUAGAUUAGGUAGUUGGUGGGGUAAUGGCCUACCAAGCCUACGAUCUAUAGCUGGUUUGAGAGGAUGAUCAGCCACACUGGGACUGAGACACGGCCCAGACUCCUACGGGAGGCAGCAGUAGGGAAUCUUAGACAAUGGGGGCAACCCUGAUCUAGCCAUGCCGCGUGUGUGAUGAAGGCCCUAGGGUCGUAAAGCACUUUCGCCAGAGAUGAUAAUGACAGUAUCUGGUAAAGAAACCCCGGCUAACUCCGUGCCAGCAGCCGCGGUAAUACGGAGGGGGUUAGCGUUGUUCGGAAUUACUGGGCGUAAAGCGCACGUAGGCGGAUUAGUAAGUUAGAGGUGAAAUCCCAGGGCUCAACCCUGGAACUGCCUUUAAUACUGCUAGUCUUGAGUUCGAGAGAGGUAAGUGGAAUUCCGAGUGUAGAGGUGAAAUUCGUAGAUAUUCGGAGGAACACCAGUGGCGAAGGCGGCUUACUGGCUCGAUACUGACGCUGAGGUGCGAAAGUGUGGGGAGCAAACAGGAUUAGAUACCCUGGUAGUCCACACCGUAAACGAUGAAUGCCAGACGUCAGCAAGUAUACUUGUUGGUGUCA